CGCCCGCCAUGGCGUGGCGGGCCAGAGCCCGUCGUGAUGCGACGGGCAAAGGUCGACCAUAGGGGCAGACCGGAUCAUCACGGAUGGUGUGCGG
rnacentral:tRNA from 1 species